rnacentral:rRNA from 1 species
AUUGAACGCUGGCGGCAUGCCUUACACAUGCAAGUCGAACGGUAACGGGCCUUCGGGUGCCGACGAGUGGCGAACGGGUGAGUAAUGUAUCGGAACGUGCCCAGUAGUGGGGGAUAGCCCGGCGAAAGCCGGAUUAAUACCGCAUACGACCUACGGGUGAAAGGGGGGGAUCGCAAGACCUCUCGCUAUUGGAGCGGCCGAUAUCAGACUAGCUAGUUGGUGAGGUAAAGGCUCACCAAGGCGACGAUCUGUAGCAGGUCUGAGAGGACGACCAGCCACACUGGAGCUUAGACACGGUCCAGACUCCUACGGGAGGCAGCAGUGGGGAAUUUUGGACAAUGGGGGCAACCCUGAUCUAGCCAUUCCGCGUGAGUGAAGAAGGCCUUCGGGUUGUAAAGCUCUUUCGCAAGGGAAGAAACGUUACGAGCGAACAACUCGUGAUAAUGACGGUACCUUGAUAAGAAGCACCGGCUAACUACGUGCCAGCCGCCGCCGUAAAAC